AUGUGUGUUAUAUGAGUUUACGUAACAGAUAGUAACCCCAGAGGAGUGAACCAGAGAACACAAAUGGAUUUGGAGUUUGCCCAAUUGAUUUUAUUUUGGGAUUAAUUCAAAAUAUCUUUUGUGUUCUCAGGUCACCCCUUUGGGGACUCUCUUGUGUUAUUUUCUUUCAUCCUUCUGCUUUGCUUUUUCCUUUUCUAAUUCUUCGUGUUUUGUUUUGCAUCUUAUUUUAUUCUCUUUUAAAUUGCGAUAUUCGAUUCCAUAAGUGUUAUAAUUUUCAAUUUUAAUAAUAUUGUCUUAUGUUUUUAACAGAAUAAGAGAAAUGAACUAUCAUGGAUUAUCUAGUGGUAAUGGAAACAUCAAAAGAAGGUCAAAAGGCUAAAGAGUCAUGGGUUUAAUCCAUGAUGGUCACUUACCUAGGUGUUAAGAUCCUACAGAUUUCGAUGACAACUAAAUGUUGUAAGAUCAUGUGGGUUUUCCCGUAAAAUUAGUCGAAAUGCAUCCUAAUUUAUGAUGACAUCUCAAAAGUAUUCACAAAGAAAUAUGGGAAUUGGGGAAAGCUGUGACAGAGCAAUUGAAGAGCUACCAUUUUGAUUUUAGCUUUCUACAUGAGCUGCGCCUCUUUAUUUUUGUUUAAUUUUUUUUUAUAUAUCAAAUAUUAAUUUCUGACAUACAAUUUGACAUAUCUUUUUUUUUAAUAAUAUUAUAUAAGUGUUCCCUUC